AAACAGAAUUACAUACAUACGUAUAAUACUAAAACAUAAUAUAUUGAAUGUAUUAAAAACACACAGAUAAGAAUUAAUACGAAAUAAUUGGAAACGACACAAAAAAAGAAACAGGACAAAAAGCGUCUUGUAAAGGUACGGUUUCCCUGCAACGUCAGACGCGAGAACAGCAUGGCUGCGUCGGACGCGGCGUCUAGACGCUACCUACGUCCAGACCGGUAGUGACGCUUGACGCUGCGUC